CCAGACGCACAAGAGUAGGGGUCUCCCUUUCAUUGCUCCAAGUAAACCUCCGGUUCUGCAGCUUCAGCUCCUUAAGCUCACAGUUGGUGAGGGCUCUUCUAAAGAGACCCAUGAGGCGGAAGUCCAGGUUGUUGUUCUUCUUGUCCUCCUCUUGGUAGAUAAGGUUGAAAUCCCCAAUGAUGAGCCAUUUUGAGUCAUCAGAAGGCUUGGUGGCAAUAGCUUCUGUGAGAAAGGCUUCUUUCUCGGCGUGGUAUGUAGGGCCGUAGACCGUAGUGAGCUUGAAGGAGGUACCACAUGCGCGAAUGGAGACGCUAGCCGAG
rnacentral:lncRNA from 1 species